CUAUGAUGAUGAUGAUGAUGAUAGCGAUAAUGAUGAUAAUAUUGAUGAUGGUGAUCAUCAUCAUCAUCAUCAUCAUCAUCAUCAUCAUCAUCGUCA
rnacentral:pre_miRNA from 1 species